AGCGAACGCUGGCGGCGUGCCUAACACAUGCAAGUCGAACGUGAAAGGGAGCAAUCCUGAGUAAAGUGGCGUACGGGUGAGUAACGCGUAGGUAAUCUACCCCAGAAUCCGGAAUAACCGGCCGAAAGGCUGGCUAAUACUAGAUAGAGCGAUGAAAUCCGUAAUUGGGUUUUUCGGGAAAGGGAGGGAGUAAUCCCCCUCGUUUUGGGAUGAGCCUGCGUCUCAUUAGCUAGUUGGUGAGGUAAUGGCUCACCAAGGCUUUGAUGGGUAGCUGGUCUGAGAGGAUGAUCAGCCACACUGGAACUGAAACACGGUCCAGACUCCUACGGGAGGCAGCAGUGGGGAAUCUUGCGCAAUGGACGAAAGUCUGACGCAGCCACGCCGCGUGAGUGAAGAAGGCC
rnacentral:rRNA from 1 species